rnacentral:rRNA from 1 species
UACGUAGGGUGCAAGCGUUAAUCGGAAUUACUGGGCGUAAAGCGUGCGCAGGCGGCUUUGCAAGACAGAUGUGAAAUCCCCGGGCUUAACCUGGGAAUGGCGUUUGAAACUACGGAGCUGGAGUAUGGCAGAGGGGGGUGGAAUUCCACGUGUAGCGGUGAAAUGCGUAGAUAUGUGGAGGAACACCGAUGGCGAAGGCAGCCCCCUGGGCCAAUACUGACGCUCAUGCACGAAAGCGUGGGGAGCAAACAGG